UACGGAGGGUGCGAGCGUUGUCCGGAAUCACUGGGCGUAAAGGGCGCGUAGGCGGCGCGGGUAGUCAACGGUGAAAGCUUGGGGCUCAACCCCGAGUCGGCCGUCGAUACUCCCGCGCUCGAGCACUGUAGAGGCAGGUGGAAUUCCGGGUGUAGAGGUGAAAUUCGUAGAUAUUCGGAAGAACACCAGUGGCGAAGGCGACUUACUGGACACAUAUUGACGCUGAGGUGCGAAAGCGUGGGGAGCAAACAGGG
rnacentral:rRNA from 1 species